UUGCUGACUUCGGCUCAAAAUGUCUGAUUUCCCUGUCCCAGGCGGCGAGACUCUGCACACAGGUGUGCACAGGGGACAGGUAGGCCCCUCAAACGGGAGCGUGUGCCUUGUACGCAGGCGUGACGGGAGAGAGCUUAAACACAGCGCCUGUGUGAAGGUGCGCAUGCUCACGCACACACACGCACGCACGCACACACACGGCCCUUAUCUGAAGGCAGUUCUGGCUGGAGGCUCCGAGCUGAAUUAGAGGUUGCGCAUAACGGAAUAUAUAUGAGACCAAUCUUGAUGACCCAGUGCAGCGUCAGCACCUCACUGAGGCCGUACGCUGGACUGCGAAGCUCAAUAAGUGACUGGAGCUCCUCCAGCUUGUGAUUGUAAUGGGUUUGAAUCAGUCGGGGGGGCCGGGGGGGCUUGAACCGGCACCCUCCCCCCGUGUACCUACAAUUAGCAUUUUCACAUCUGUGACGGUACCGUCCGGUACGUUCAGGUUUCAUUCGGGCACCUUUUUGCCCGAUUCUGGUGUUAAAUGCCCUUGUUGGGAAUUGUAGUUCUAUCGAGGGUGGACCCUGAAAAGCCCUGCUGCUGGGCUGUGUGAUAAAUGCUAAUGAACCUGCAACGCGCGCGCAUGUGUGUGCAUGAGUGUACGGGAAAGGUGUGUGUGUGUGCACGAGUUUUGAGAGAGGAAUGUGUGUGUGAGUAUGACAGACCUUCACUCUGUGAGAAAACUGUCCAGUUAUGUCCUGUUUUGUGUGUGUGCGAAAGAACUGUUUCACUGUGUGUACAGGAAUGAGGGAUGCAUAUGCACAAGAGAACUGUGUGUGUGUGUGUGUGUGUGUGUGUGUGUGUGUGCGCUCAUUUAGUGUGCAGAGAUGGAGGCGGAAGACCAUCCUGUCCAUUUCAAUUAGAAAGAACUGCUGACUACUGCUGCCCCCACUCUCUUUACCCCCUCUGACACACACACACACACACACACAAAUUAUCCCCUCUCCACUCACACCCUCACCUCUUAACACUCACUGUUUGUGUUCUUGCAGUGCACCUUAUAGCCAUACACUCACACACGUCUGCUCUCUCUCAAACUUGCGCUCUUAGGCAAAUAUAUGCAAGUGAGAUCAGCCAAUCUAAUCCUGCUGUAAUCUGUUGGCACUUCAAAACCAACUAAUCGGCAAUGAGACUUCCUGGAAUAAAUACAAAUGAAUAAGAAGUGCAAUCCUCAAACACGUCUUGAGCUGAAAAACGACUAACACGGUUCCAAAAAGUACAGAAAAAGAAACGGGACAUCGCAGCCAGUAAAAAUAAAAAAAUGCAAAAAUAUUUUUUUAGGAAAAAAACAUUUUAAUAGAGCCUUUUUACAGUCUUAGAAACGCAUUCACUUACAGCGGUACACUUUACUGUAUAAUAUAUUAACAACGUAAAGCAUUCUGGGUAAAUAUCAGUGUACACAGAGAACGAUCCCAAAGCAGCCUGAAGAAGCCGUACGAAGUGUACUCUCCCCGCCAAACCGCAGGACUGGCCCCCCCACCGGAGAGAGCGGGAUAUUAGCUAGACCUGCCAGGCUACCUCAGAGUACGCUGCUAUCGUUACACUGUCCCAUAAACCAUAGUGUCUUCAGCGCAGAGGGGCCCCCAGAAAGCUCGGAGAAGCAGCCUCCGCCACACCAGCGCUCUCCAGCUGCAGCUGAAAUCGUUAUC